rnacentral:sRNA from 3 species
GAACCUGCCGCAGGUUCGGGUCGAACGCAGUGAGACAACGGAGCCGUUUACGGCGACGGCCCGAAGGGCGAGCGAAGCGAGUCAUCCUGCACGACCCACCA